rnacentral:tRNA from 1 species
UCUAAUAUGGCAGAUUAGUGCAAUGAAUUUAAGCUUCAUAUAUAAAGAUUAACCUUUUAUUAGAA